AUAUCUUUCUUGGUCUUUUGGCUAAUAUCAAAUAUACUAUCUAUUCUUAUCAUUUUAAUAUAUCAUAUAUGAUGUGCCACUUCACGAUGAUAUUUAAUUUCUUUUUUAUGUAGGGGAGGGUUCAUCGGUGGCUUGCCACUGGGGCUCUCAAGUGUCACCUAAGUGUUGCACUACAGCUCAGGCCUGGUGUACCCCAA